UUUUUUGCUCCAGUGAAGGCUUUUGUACAUAAACACACACACAUUUAGUGGUAAUUCAGCAGGAUCUCCCCCCUGUGAUCUCAUUAGAGAGAAACCUGCCUCCGCCCGGUGAGGUGUCUUUGAUCUGAAGCUUUUUUCCUAGAAGGGAGGAUUGGAUCUGAAACUUCGAGGUUAACUUCGUUUUUAUUUCCCAUGCAGAUAUCCAGGCUAUUUGCCCUCCGUACUGCGCUUUGACAACCUGCCCUGUUAGCCAAAUAACGCUAACUUGCUGAUUCUUUGUUCGCUGACAUACACCGCUGGCUAGCUAAACAGUAGCCACCCGACAACCUCAGACUACUACAUUACAAUGUUUUGUGUAGAGUAUUAUUUCAUUUCAUUGCAGGCAUUUAACAGACGCUCUCAUCCAGAGCGACUUACACAACUUUUACAUAGCAUUUUACGUUGUAUCCAUUUUAUACAGCUGGAUAUAUAUUGAAGCAAUUUCGGUUAAGUGCCUUGCUGAAGUGUACAACGGCAGUGCCCUACCCGAGAAUCGAAUCUGAGACCUUUCGGUUACAAGCCCAGUUCCUUACCCACUGUGCUACACUUUCAAGUUUUUUUAAACAGCAUAUUAACCCAUAAAUAAUUCCCCUUAAAUCACAUUUAACAGAUAUACACAGGUCCCGAGAAACAUAGGCUACUUGCAUCCAAAGACGCCGCAGAUCCAAUCAAAACAGAUAAUGAUCUGUUAUUAUUUAAUUACUUUACUUUACAUUACAUUUAUUUGGGAGACGCUUUAAUCUAAAGAGACGUAGGCUACAUUAUUAUUAUGAAUACCACUAGAUCGCACUAGUUCGAGUUGGAUUGCAAAUACGUCAUGUCCAGCGAGGUAAAUAUUGUCAUGAAAUAUGCAAAAGUGCAUUAGUAAACCGUUUAUUUAAACGUAAAACUUAAAAAAAAUGUAUUACUUUUGUUUUCGGUCCCAAAUGAGGAACCGGAUAAUUGCCUAGUAGGGCCUACUCCUCGCGUAUUUUCUUGUCAGUUUUCAGUUUUACUGAAUUAAGCGUGUUAAUUGCGAUUAUAGCUUCCCCUCACCUGUUCAUCUUUAGUUUAUAUUCUCUCCAUCCCACUCCACUACAGACUACUUCGUUCUUUUUUCAGUUUUAUUCUUUUACUCUCUCUUCGUUCUUCUCCGUCUUUAAAAUCGCGUGUGAGUUUGAACACUUUCAGUUCCACUUUUGGACUAAAUAUCUGGAAUUCUAAACUGGUGGUGGUUUAAACUGUGUGUUCAGCACAUUUAGCUGGUCAUAGCUGGUCUCUGGCUGGACAAAGCUGCUCAAACUAGUUGAUUAAGCUGGUCGUCAAACUGGUGGACUAGCUGACUGUAUAGGCUGGUCAGCUGGCGAACAGGGCUGAGAUAUGAGCUCUGGUCCACAGCAGCUAUAGUAAGUCUCCUUUCUCCCACAGAGGGGCCCAUGCUAUUGAUACACAAUGACAGCCAACAGGAGCAGAGUAAACUCCAUACAAACUGAAUUGAGUGACAACAGCUGCAGUUCAUUUGUAAUAAAAUGUUUCCUCAAUGGAUAAUCAACUCAGUUUCCAACUUCACUAAUCCAUCAGCAUUAAAAACAGUGAUUUGUCAAAAAGGUGUUUAAAAUACCGCCAGGUAUAAUGAUACAGGAUGAGCACAAAAAUCCGCAGACAUGGUGUCAGUGAGCUGUAACCAAAAGAGUACAUGUCUGGCCUGUAACUGUAUGAUUUUGCAUUAUGUAUCUGUGCCCAUUAUUUGAUUGAUGUAAAAAUAGAUAGACUUGCACUUGUAGAAUCAGAUCUCAGUGAUCAGAUUCAAUGAGAAGGAAUACAAGAAGUCAGGUAUGAUUCAGUGAUGGGGGGUGGUGGUGAUUACAAUGCAGUGUACAAGAUACACAUUUUACAGUGCACAGUGUAAAAGACGAAAACCCCCAUACGUAAUAUUGCGGUAUGCAUUAACAGGCCACUGAAUAGUCAGUGAUUUCUUGCAUUCUGAACCUAUACGUAGAAACUUGAUUUCAGUGACAAAUGUCAUCGUCAUUGUGACCACUUACUCCCAGAGAAAGAAUUAUACUACUUCUGUCUACAUAUGGUAAAAAGCCCACACUGAAUCUAAUUGUACACAACAUAAAAGGUACCUUCAGAAUAAGAAACAUCAGUGUCCAUGUUCUUGCUCACAAGUGAAAACAUGGAAUCAUUUAUGAUUUCUGCAACAAUGACAAUUUGAUGAUACUCGCGGUGCAACAGUAAUGCACAAAAAGCCAAACUUCAUGCUGACCAGAGAAAGCUCCUGUAAUCCAUUUAGUGACAAGCUAUUAGAAGGCUAUCUCUCAGAACUCUGCAAAAUCAUUAUUGCUGCUUAAUUUACUUGUUAUGCGGAUUCUGUUUGCCCCAGCCCAAACAUGAGAUUAUGGUUCAAACUAUUAAGCGCCCAUGAGACAAAUAGCUCAGAGUGGAGCUGAACUUCCAGUACCAUCUAGUGGCUGUUUGGAGAAACUACAAUAUUAUUUUUCCACCAAUCUUUUCUAGAACUCCACAGAUGUUCUCAUGUCUUAAUAAAUUGCUGUAGAUGUGGCUGUAAACAAAAAUGUUUUGAAAAUAAUUCACUGUUUGUUUGAUCAAAAAAACUGUUUUCAUGUCUAUAUGAGUGCACAUAGUGAAUCACUGGCCAUUCUCUCACUACUGUAAUGUUGAAGUGUAUUUACAGACUAUAUGUUCUUUAGAUUUUAUUGCUAUUUUUGUUUAUAGUGCUGCAUAUACUGAGUUAUUUUUAUGAAUGCUACUCUCCUUUGAAAAUACUAAUUUUUUUUGUUCCUUCAACUGUGUUGUGGUUACUGCACAGUACUUUUCACUCAGCAUCACUGAGUACUACAAAUAAAAUAUUUGGAAAUUUGCACACUCCCUCAUUUGUUAGGAGUGUAACAUUGCAAAGAUCAAAAUCUGAAAACCAUAAAAUAAGUAGAAUAACCAGGAGAAAAUAACUCCUGACGCACUGCUAUAAAAGGUUUUUGCAGUAGUGCUUUGAAUUUAUCUCACUGGUGUGUUAUGGGUAAUCUACAUUGUCUGUGUUUUCGAUGGCUUGUGUGUGCCAUUUGAAGGCAAAGGUUUAAUUUUGAUGGAAGAGUAUAUGUUUUUGAGAAGAUAAUUUGAGUUUGGCAUGGAUGUUUGAGGUUUGUGCUGAUUGAUGUGUCGUUUUGGGAUUGUGUUAAUAG